rnacentral:lncRNA from 1 species
GGAAGUUUCACUUAAUAAUCAGGCUUCUUCAGACCCCUGCUGGAAAGAAAUCAGCACACAGAACUCAGUCUCAUCCUGCCGCUGCCCUCUGAAUCGCUGUCUGGGUUUCAUCAGCCUCAGAAAAUUGGUGAGAUUUGGAAGAACGCAACAAAGGCUAAUCGUUUGUUUGAAGUUCCAAAGAAGACUUUAGGAGAAUUACUCCAACAUUUGAGGAUGGGGGACCAUCAUCGCCUGUUGCCAGUGAGACCAGUGUCCCACCAGACUCCUCACAGAUGACGUUUCCAUGAACUUCCUUAAGUCACCAUCAAGUAGUGUUGGGUAAGUGUCACCAUUUGGUGACUAGUGCUGCGAACCGUCUAACCUGGAAGGUGUUCACAAGCUUCUUGAGCACAUUAGACCUAACGAAACCCACCUCCUAAUAGUCUGCUUUUCCUCAAGAGCCCGAACUCACAAAAAAGAAAAUCAAAAUCUCACUCCAACUUCCCCCUCUUUUAU